rnacentral:lncRNA from 1 species
UAAUUGUGUGCGCUUUUGUUUGAACUUAUCAAAUAUGUGAUUGUUCUCCUUCUCCUUCAGAGAGAUAAGAAAUCCACCCUCCGGAUAUGUAGAAUGAUGUUGUUGUAAUCACUCUUCAAAGGGAGAUCCACAGUAAACAAAUGUUAGAAUGUCGCCUCUGCAGCUUCUUUUGGUACCAUAUCAGGAUGGGUGAGCUAUCUCCAGUUAAGGCAAAUUAACCUGUGAAGAAACAAAGCAAAAUGCAAGUUAACAGCUUCCUGAUUUUGCUUAUGAAAAUGAGUUUCAGGUGCAAUGUGUAUGCAAGUAUAUCUAUGUAAAUUAUAUGUGAUCACUCAGUCUCAGAAGAUAACUCACUUAGGAAAUUUAAGGACAGAAGCAAAAACAAAAAACGUGCUAGUGCUGAUAAUGCUGCAACAUCAGAUGAAGCCAUGCUGA